GAGAGCUGGAUGCAUAACGAAAGAUGCACGUCCGGUUCGGCGAAAGGCGACUAGAAACCGACUGCCGAGAGGCAGCACGGCGCUAGUCGCCUAUUCUAC
rnacentral:ncRNA from 1 species